ACAGUUGAAGCACUUGUCCUUUCCUUCAUCACAGAAAACUAGAUGCAACGACCAUAAAAUCUGCAAAAAGGAUAUAAUGGAGAUGACUGGGCCCCACUAGCCUAAGAUUGGGCACCAUAUUCCCUACAAUUAUCGUUACUCUAAAAAUGUCUAUUAUCAGACGACUUUGGGUAUGGAGCACCAACCAUCGAGUGAGACCCAGAAUUACCCCACCUCUUCUUGGGACACUUUCUACCAUCCCUG
rnacentral:lncRNA from 1 species